AGAGUUUGAUCCUGGCUCAGAGUGAACGCUGGCGGAAUGCUUUACACAUGCAAGUCGAGCGGCAGCAUGGACUUCGGUCUGAUGGCGAGCGGCGAACGGGUGAGUAAUGCAUCGGAACGUGCCGUGUCGUGGGGGAUAACGUAGCGAAAGUUACGCUAAUACCGCAUACGAUCUGAGGAUGAAAGCGGGGGACCUUAUGGCCUCGCGCGAUACGAGCGGCCGAUGUCUGAUUAGCUAGUUGGUGGGGUAAAGGCCCACCAAGGCGACGAUCAGUAGCGGGUCUGAGAGGAUGAUCCGCCACACUGGGACUGAGACACGGCCCAGACUCCUACGGGAGGCAGCAGUGGGGAAUUUUGGACAAUGGGGGAAACCCUGAUCCAGCCAUUCCGCGUGGGUGAAGAAGGCCUUCGGGUUGUAAAGCCCUUUUGUCUGGGAGCAAAUCCUUGUCGCUAAUACCGGCUGGGGAUGAGAGUACCAGAAGAAUAAGCACCGGCUAACUACGUGCCAGCAGCCGCGGUAAUACGUAGGGUGCAAGCGUUACUCGGAAUUACUGGGCGUAAAGCGUGCGCAGGCGGUUUUGUAAGCUUGAUGUGAAAUCCCCGGGCUUAACCUGGGAACUGCAUUGAGGACUGCAAGGCUAGAGUACGGCAGAGGGGGGUGGAAUUCCACGUGUAGCAGUGAAAUGCGUAGAGAUGUGGAGGAACACCGAUGGCGAAGGCAGCCCCCUGGGCCUGUACUGACGCUCAUGCACGAAAGCGUGGGGAGCAAACAGGAUUAGAUACCCCGGUAGU
rnacentral:rRNA from 1 species